UGGCUUCUCUGUUUUUGGUAAGAUGCUCAAAUUCGGAUUGGAGCCUGACGUUGUGACAUUUACUACCUUAAUUAAUGGGCUUUGUAUAGAGAGUAAAAUCGACAAAGCAGUGGAAUUUUUCGAUGAUAUGGUUGCACGUGGUUAUCAACCUAAUGUUCGUACUUUCAAUGUGAUAGUAAACGGAUUGUGUAAAUUUGGGAAAACAAAUGUGGCUAUUGGGCUACUAAAGGGAAUGACUGAUAGAGGUUGUGAGCCAAAUGUUGUGACAUACAGUGCAAUCAUUGACGCCCUUUGCAAAGAUGAGCUAGUUGGUGAGGCUUUAGAGCUCUUCUCUCAAAUGAGGAAUAAGGGCAUUUCACCUGAUGUCAUCACUUACACUAGUUUAAUUCAUGGUGUUUGCAAAUUAGGCCAAAAGAACCAAGCUUUAGCCUUGAUGAAUGAAAUGGUGGAGCAGAACAUAUCACCUGAUGUUUACACCUUCAGUGUAUUGAUUGAUGCUCUUUGUAAGGAUGGAAUGGUUUCAGAGGCUCAAAAUACAUUCAAUGUAAUGAUUCAAAGAGGUGUAGAGCCUGAUGUGGUCACUUACAAUUCCUUAAUCGAUGGUCUUUGCAUUUCAGACCAAUUCAAGGAAGCUUUGUCCUUGUUGAAAGAAAUGGUGGGGAGGAACAUAUCCCCUGAUGUUUUUACCUUCAAUAUAUUGAUCGACACUCUUUGUAAGAAAGGACUGGUUUCAAAUUCAGAGAGUAUAAUCAAAAUAAUGAUUCAAAGAGGUGUGGAACCUGAUGUUGUCACUUAUAAUUCAUUGAUGGAUGGAUAUUGUCUAGGCAGCCAAAUUGAUAAGGCUAGAAAGCUAUUUGAUCUGAUGGUGACCAAUGAAAUAGCUGGCAUUUUUAGCUACAACAUUUUGAUCAAUGGAUAUUGUAAGUGCAAAAUGAUAGAUGAUGCAAAGCAGAUUUUUUAUGAAAUAUCUCAUAAAGGUUUAGUUCCUGAUGCUUUUACCUAUCAUACUCUUAUAAAGGGUAUGUUUCAAGCAGGGAGGCCCCAAACUGCAAAAGUGCUCUUUAAGGAUAUGUGCUCUCAUGGUCAACAGCCAAAUAUAGUAACCUUCUCAAUUAUGAUUGAUGGCUUGUGUAGACAGGGGAAUCUCGAUGAGGCACUCACCCUAUUGAAAGCAAUGGAGAAAAGUGAGUUGAAGCCUAAUUUUGUGAUCUAUAGCAGUCUGAUCAAUGGUAUGUGCAAAGUUGGGAAGAUUAAUGAUGCCAAGGAACUUUUUUAUAGUCUUUUUGAAAUUGGUUUACAACCUGAUGUUUAUGUAUAUAAUGCAAUUAUGAAAGGACUCUGCCAACAAGGAUUAACGGAUGAAGCUUAUAAGGUAUUUAAAGACAUGGAAAAGGUAGGAUGUUUACCAAAUAAUUGUUGUUAUAAUAUCAUCAUUCAAGGGUUUCUCAGGCAUGAGGAUUUACCAAAAGCAUCAGAAUUAAUCAAUGAAAUGGUUGAUAAGGGGUUCUCUUCUAAUGAUGCUACCACAGAAUUGGUAGUACAUUUAUCGCGGAAUAAUGAUCUCAUUCUGAGGCUUUUAAAGGUGCGCAAUGAGGGAUCAACAAACUAAAGUUGUUAUAUCUUGACCAUUCAAGUGUGUCUUGGAGCACAACUUGGUAAUUACCUUUUUCAAAUAUAAUAGAUAUGUAAUUUAACUAAUUUCUUCAAAUAUCAUUUUUAAUUUCAAUCAGCUGUGAUUCUCUUCUACAAAAUGAAAUUUUCUAACACCGCAAAUGACCUGUCAUGGUUUACCACGAGCAGACUCGCGAAUAAACUCGUAAAUAGUUUCGUUAAGCAGGCUGAAAUUAAUAAUAUAAGAGAAAUAAAUUCAAAUCUUACAUAUACUUUUAUGAGUCAAAUUUAAAUUUUAUAAAGUUCAAUUUAAUAUUGUGUAAUUAGACUAUUAAAACUUGCAUAUAUUUGGAUCGUUAAGAGUUCAUCUUUAUAAGUUUAAGAGCUAAUUUGUAUAUGUGAAGGUCAGCUGUUUGCUUGAUGUGGGACGUCCCUCUCAUCGGCAGAGUACGAAAAAUCAAAAUUGUAUAUAAUAGUUAAUUACGAAACUACUAAAUAACUUGGAUUAACUAUUUUGGGCCAAGUGGAAAGUAGGUCAAAAGUUAUUUGGGUUAGUUUGGGCCGGAUUGUUAUGCUUACUUAAUGUAGGAAGACGUCCCACAUCGACGGAAAAUGAAACUACAAGUAAAAAGUGGGCACUUUCCAAAAAUUAUUUAGGUGGGUCGAGCCGUUUCAGUAUAUAUACUUAUUUAGUUUUAAACUAAAACUCAUUACACAUAUAAAUAAAUUAAAUUAUUGGUGAAUUAUUUGAGACUAAACUCAAUAAAAACUUGACUAGUCUAAGUUUAUUUGCUAAAAGAGUCAAAUUUGAACUUAUUAAUACUCCACUUAAAAAAAUUUUAACGGACUAAAUUUGAACUCUUCAAAACGAUUAGUUUACACUCUAAGUAAAUUUUAAAAAGUGUUUAAAUUACUAAUAAGCUCUAAAUCCAAAUUACCAAAAAAUUACUAACGGAUUUGAAAAUCCGUUACUAAACUUUAUCAUCAAAUUAAUAAGUAAAAAAAAAAUAUUAAAUUUAUCAACAGAUGCUACCUGCUAGUAAAUCCGUUGAUAAAUUUAAAAUAAAAUCCUACAUAAAAUUCUUUCUUUUUUUUUUUACAACUCACAUUUUUCAGUUACCAACGGAUUUGCUAAUAAAUUUUAGUAACGAAUUACAAAUUUAUUAAUAAUUCGCGUUUAUAAAUAUAACACCAGCUCCUCUGCUUUUAUUAUUCGUUCAUCUUAUCAUCCGCCUUUCUUCCAUUUUUUCCCUUUCUCUCAUUUUCAUUCUUUUUCUUUCUUUCUUUCAUUUCACUUUUUUAUCUCAUAAUUUUUUUUUCUAUUAUUUUUCUUUCAUCUCUUAUCCUAUUUUCUCUAAUUCUCUUUCGUCUUCUAUUACUCUUUUUCAUUUUUCAUUUUCUCCAUUUUCUUUUCCAUCUUUUUAUUUCCUUUCCUCUUAUCUUCUUCAUUUUUUCUAUAAUUUUCAUUCAUAUUAAUUUUUUAAUAUUAUUUUCUCCUAUCAUUUUCUUUCUAUCUAUAUUUUUCUAUUAUUUUAUCUUUAUUUAUUUUCUUCUCUAAUCAUUUGUUCAUUUUUUUUCAUUUUUCUAAUUAUCUUUUUACUCAACUCUCAUUCUUUCUUCUUUUUCAUAAUUUUUAUUUUUCUAUCAUUUUCUUUAUUUUUCUCUUUUUUCUUUCUUUUUUAUUAUUUUCUCUCAUUUUGUACUAUUUGUUUUUUUUUUUAUUUGCACUUUCUAUGUAUUUCUAAUAAAUAUUGAAUAUAAAUUAAAAACUUAAUAACAAUAAUAAUAUAAUUUUAAGUCUUAUUAAAUUAAUAAAAAAUUAUUUAAAUUCUUAAUAAAUUUACUAAUGGAAUGCAAUUCGUUAAUAAUUUACUAACGGAUUUCACAUAUGUUAAUAAAUUAUUUUUCUUUUAUACUAACAGAUUUAAAAUUUGUUAGUAAUUUGGAAUCUGUCGGUAAUAAUAAUGAAAACUCCGUUAAUAAAUCCGCUAGUAUUACUAACGAAUUUGAAAGUCGGUAAAAAUUUACCGUCAAACUUUUUAACAACGGAUCGUAAUCUAUUAGUAAUCAAUUGUUAAUUUAUUUACCAUUGGAUUUUUAUUGAAUUGCCAAUGAAAAAAUCACUGCAUUAUCAAUACAAAUUAAGAAGUUGUUGAUUCAUAUAUUUACAAUAAAAUGUCUUUUAAACUCUUAAGACUUUUGAAGCUAAAAUUGAAAAAACAUUCAUGAUGUUGUAUUUCUCCUUUGGUUGAAAUUGUUAUUCAUGCAAGAUGAUUUUUUCUGUUGUAACACUUUGGAAUGAUGUCUAUUAUUGGAAUGCAUAUGAUUGUUUGACUAAUAUAAAACAGAUAUAAGAAGUAUAUAGUUAAAAAGAUAAUUAUAAUUUUUAGCAAUAAACAUUUAAUAAAAAUAUUAAAUUUUUGAUAAUUUUAUAUUUUUAUGAUUAGAUUCACACAAUAAUUUAAUUUUCUAAUUUAACAUUUAUUAUGUAAUCUUAUAAAUAAAAUGUUUAUAAUUUUAAUUUUUAUGAAAUUUUGUACAUAAAUAUAUUCAUACUUUAAAAAUAUUAUUCUUAUAAUUUAUAAUACAAUAUAAUGUCUAUUAAAUGCAUAGAAAUAAUUUACAUAUUAUAAAUUUACGUUAAUAUUAUUAAUAAUAAAAUAAAAUUUAAAAUGCAAAAUAUAUUUAGUGAGUUUAACAUUUCAAAAUUUUAUUAUUUUGAAAUAAUUUUAUAUAUUAAUUUUUUACUGAUAUUAAUUAAAAUUAUAAUAUUAUUCAAAUAAAAUGUCAAAAUAAAAAUGUGCCAAACAGUUCUCAUGAGAGUNNNNNNNNNNNNNNNNNNNNNNNNNNNNNNNNNNNNNNNNNNNNNNNNNNNNNNNNNNNNNNNNNNNNNNNNNNNNNNNNNNNNNNNNNNNNNNNNNNNNNNNNNNNNNNNNNNNNNNNNNNNNNNNNNNNNNNNNNNNNNNNNNNNNNNNNNNNNNNNNNNNNNNNNNNNNNNNNNNNNNNNNNNNNNNNNNNNNNNNNNNNNNNNNNNNNNNNNNNNNNNNNNNNNNNNNNNNNNNNNNNNNNNNNNNNNNNNNNNNNNNNNNNNNNNNNNNNNNNUUCAAUUAAAUAUAAGGUACGGUUAUAAUAAAAUAUUAUUUUUAUGAAAAUAAAUUUAAUUAAAUCUCUAUAUUUUUAUUAAGAGUCACAUAAAUUCAAUUUAAAAUUUUUAAAAUUUUAAGCUAAUUAAACUAUGUAAUUUUAUUAAAGGCUAAAUAGAUUCUAACUUAAUAUUAUUUUUUAAUAAUAAAAUAUUAUUUUUAUAAUUUAAAACAUUAAAAUUUUAGUAUUUUAAUUAAAAUUAAAAAUUUUAAAAUAUAUAUAAAUAUAAUAAAUAAUUUCUAAAAUUAUAUAAAUAAAGUUUUAUCAUAUAAAAAUUUUUAUUAUUAAAAAAUAAUAUUAUGUUAAAUUAUGAUUUAUUUAAUUUUUGAGUAAUAAUAUAGAGAUUUAAUUUAUCCAAAAUUUUAAAUUAAAAUUAUUUAACUCUUCAAUAACGUGAGACUUAAUUGCAUUUAUAUUUACAAAAUUAUUUAUUAUAAAAUGAUAAAUUUAAUUUGUUAUUAAAUAAUAUUUUUAUAUGAAAAAUUAAUAAAAAAAUUACAAAAUGUGGCGCAUAUAAACAAUUCCUAAUUUCCUUUUGUUAUCCAUGCCACUUUACCAGCUGGCAGAGAGCCUUCCUUUUCCAAUUCUCUAUUUCCUUUCCUCAUUCCAAAUCUCCGAUCCAUCCCUAAAAACAACUGACGAGAGAUCGAUGAUGAUGAAGAUGCCUUGGAGGAGGAAGAGUAGGAGCUUACAUGUUCAACUACAAGGGGCAAUUGGUACCACUCAAUCUCCAUUCCUAUUCUUGUUUACCAAUUAUUGCCAUUCUUCUACUUCCACACUUGAAGAUGCACGCUUCUUGACAAAUAACUUCAAAUCUGCUUCUUUUACCCACCUUGAUGAUGCCAUUGCUUCCUUCAAUCAUGUAAUUCAUAAGCAUCCUCUGCCUUCUAGGGUUCCAUUUAAUAGAUUCUUAUCUGCCCUUGUGAAAAUGAAACAAUAUCACACUGUCCUUUCCAUGUCCAAAACAAUUGAAUUGCUAGGAAUCUCACACAAUCUUUAUUCUCUUAGUAUCUUAAUUAAUUGCUUCUGCCAUUUACACCUUGUGGAUUUUGGCUUCUCUGUUUUUGGUAAGAUGCUCAAAUUCGGAUUGGAGCCUGACGUUGUGACAUUUGCUACCUUAAUUAAUGGGCUUUGUAUAGAGAGUAAAAUCGACAAAGCAGUGGAAUUUUUCGAUGAUAUGGUUGCACGUGGUUAUCAACCUAAUGUUCGUACUUUCAAUGUGAUAGUAAACGGAUUGUGUAAAUUUGGGAAAACAAAUGUGGAAUGGUUUCAGAGGCUCAAAAUACAUUCAAUGUAAUGAUUCAAAGAGGUGUAGAGCCUGGUGUGAUCACAUACACAUCCUUAAUUGAUGGUCUUUGCAUUUCAGACCAAUUCAAGGAAGCUUUGGCCUUGUUGAAAGAAAUGGUAGGGAGGAACAUAUCCCCUGAUGUUUUUAC
rnacentral:lncRNA from 1 species